UGCUCGUGGGAGCUCUCAUGAUGUCUAUCAGAAGCUCUCUCUUUACAGAUACUGCAGAUUUGGCUUGAGUUGCUUCUUUCUGGAUUUUCUUUGCAUACAAACGGUUCAAUUAUUGCAUGUGGUUUUGAGUAUAUAUUUUGUUGCCGUUUGAUAUAUAUGCCUAUCGAGACGAAGGUUAUGCAGAAGCGUUUGUUGGAUCAGAAUUUUAUUCCUUUCUGAGACAAUUAUUCUAUUAUAAGGAUGAGCGAAACAUGGAAAAUUAUUACCUUGCAGUGAUUGAAGCUUAAUUCCUUUGGUGAGCCAAAAACAGAGACUUCCCUAUGAAACUCAAGGCAUUAUAAAACAGAGUUGAAUUCUCCAGCCAAAAAGAUGAUGAGAAGUGUCGAAAGUGUUACAACAGAUCUUGCCCAGAAAUGUGUGGAUGGAGCAAUAAAGGAAGCUCAUUAUUUUUGUUGUUUCAAUAGCUAUCUUGAAAACUUUGAAACAGAAAAGAAUAGACUGUCUGCAAAAAGAAGGGAGCUGAAGAAAGAUAUUGAUGAUGCCAAGAAAAGAAAUGAGAUUCACAUUGAGGAUGGAGUUAAGCAAUGGAUUGAUGAAGCUGAUUCUCUCAUUCAUAAGGACACUAAAACAAAGAAAAAAUAGUUUAAUAGUUUGUGUCCUAAUUGUAUUUGGCAAUAUCGACAAGGCAAAACAUUGGCAAAAAUGGCACAAGAUGCGGUAGAUUUAAUAAGGAGAUGUGACUUCAACAGAGUGGCACGUCCAGCUGAACUCCCAGGCAUAAAAUACCACACAUCACAAGACUUUAUUGAUUUUGAGAGCAAAAAGUCAAAAUUCAAAGAACUUAUGAUGGCAUUAGAAGAUGAAAAUUACUACAUGAUUGGAUUGCAUGGUAUGGGGGAAACGGGAAAAACCACGUUGGCAACACAAGUUGGCAAACAAGUUGAAGAAUCCAAAGCAUUCCAUAAAGUCAUCUUUAUUGUAGUGUCUACUCCUCCAAAUAUCAAGAAGAUUCAAGGUGACAUUGCAAGGCAAUUAGGUUUGCCUUUAGAGGAAAGAAGGGAAGAAGAACAUUCAAUGCUUUUGUGGUCCAAAAUUUCUAAGGAUAAUGAAAAAAUACUCAUAAUACUAGAUGAUGUGUGGGAAAAGAUAAAUCUUGGAGACAUAAGGAUUCCCUCUAGUAAUAAAUAUAGGAAAUGUUGUGUUUUGAUAACCACUCGCAAUUCAAAUGUUUGUGGAGCAAUGGGAUGCCAGCAAACAAUUCACUUAGAGAUAUUAAAUGAUAAGGAUGCAUUGAAUCUUUUUUUGAUACAUGCUAUACGUUAUGGCAACUCAUUCAGUAGUGAUAUGGAGAAAACAGCACUAGACAUUGUAAAGAAAUGUGGAGGAUUAGCUAUUGUGAUUGUAGCAUUAGCAAACACAUUAAAAAAUUGGCCUACAUGUGAGUGGAAGCUAGCUUUGACAACUAUACAAAAUUUUGAGACAUUAGAUGAUGUUGAUGAAGAUUUGAUAGAAGUUUAUAAUUGCUUGAGCUUGAGUUAUAAGAAUCUAAGGAAUGAAAAGGCAAAAAAGCUAUUCUUGUUGUGUUCUCUCUUCCCAAAAGAUUAUCAAAUCCUAAUAAACCUUUUCAUUAGACUUGGUAUUGGUGCAGGAAUUUUUGGAGAUGUUGACAAAUAUUAUCAAUCCAAAUGGCAAGCUCUUGGGGUGAAAAAUGAACUCAUAGCUUCUUCAUUAUUGAAGGUUGAGAAAGAAUGUAUAAAAAUGCAUGAUUUAGUUCGUGAUAUGGCCUUAUGAAUAUCAAAGGAAGACAUUCAAGUGAUUAUGGAUUCAAGAACAAAAUUAAAAGCAAAUAAGCGAUUUUUGUUUUGGAAUAUUGAUGAUUUGCCUGAUGAGUUUGAUGGUACAAAACUUGAGAUUCUAUUUCUUUGGGUAAAUGGAAAGGUUUUGAAGAAAAAACCAUAUUCUUUCUUUGCUGGGAUGACAAGGCUCAAAGUUAUGUUCUUACACUGUAAGUAUGAUAAAAAGCAUCUCCCUCCAUUAUUAUCAGAGUCACUUCUUUCAUUAAAGAAUAUCUGAACUGUGGUUCUAAAUGGCUGGAUACUAAAUGAUCUCUCUAUUUUGAAAAAUCUACAAAGUCUUGAGACUCUUGAGAUGGAAAAUUGUUUAAUCAUUAAACUGCCCCAUGAAAUUAAGGAAUUGAAUAAGUUGAGAUUGUUGGGGUUAAGAAAGUGUAGAAUUGAAAGGCAUAAUCCUUUUGAGGUAAUUAAAAGAUGCUCACAAUUACAAGAACUGUACUUUGUUGAGAAUAAUGAUAUUCAAGAUUGGAAGUCAUCAGAAAGUGAUAAUGGAGAAAAUAUCGAAGUAGUCACUCAUGAUACAUCUCCUAAUUUGCAAAUGUAUUUUAUAGCUUGUUCUGGUCUUGAUUAUUUUGAAGAUGUUGAUAAUGGCCUAUUAAAAUGUUUCAACACAAAACAUGUAAGAAAUUUGAUCCCAGAUGCCAUGUUUAAACACCUUGUGGAAAGAGCAGAAGUUCUUGAGUUUGGAGAAAUAAGAGAGGAAGGAUGGAAAAGUCUUAUCCCUGAUAUAGUUCCUAUGAAAGACAAUAAUAACUUGAAUGAUUUAAUAAAACUUUGUUUGUGUUAUUUGGAUGACAUGGAGUGCCUCAUUGAUACAACCAGCAGAAAUAAUCAUUAUUCUGAUGUGAUAGUCUUCUCCAAGUUAGUUGAGCUUUAUUUAUAUCACAUGAAUGUUAAAGAAUUAUGUCAAGGUCCUUUGCCUUCUAACUUUCUCAGGCAGCUAUAGAUUUUAAUUCUAUAUGAUUGUGGGAAACUUCACAACAUAUUCUUUGAUAGAAAUCUUAUUCUACCUCAUUUAAAGACCUUGGAAUUGCAAGAUUGUCCAAUAUUCCAACCAUCACUUUUCCAACUAUCUGUUGCUCAAAGUCUAGCACAAUUAAAAGAGUUAAUAAUCAUUAAGUGUGAAAGGCUAAAAAGCAUCAUUACGUAUGACAUGAGUUCAUCAGAAAAGGAUCAAAUAAGGGAUGUUAUUGGAAAAUUGUUUCCAAAAUUAAAAUCUCUUCGAAUUGAAACUUGUGGAGAGUUAGAAUGGAUAUCUCCAUUCCUUUUUGAUGGAGAUCUUCUCUCUUUGGAAGUUAUAAUCAUACGAAAGUGUGUGAAAUUAGAAUACAUUUUUGGUGAAUAUCAAGAUGAUGAUGGCCAAAUUCUAAAACAAGAGGCCAUACUUCCUUCUCUGACUGAAAUGGAACUUGAUGAAGCUCCAAGUUUGAUCAGUAUAUUUCAAGAAUGUAACAAAUGCAAGCAAAGACCAUGCAAAGUAGUGAAAGAUGAUUCAAAGGAGAUAUUAUUAGGUGCAAACUCCAAGACACUUUCUUUAAUCUCUUGGGCUCAUGGUUGUUGUUUUCUCCCUACAACUAAGGACAUUGAUGUUGUAGUUUCUAAUGCCACAUUGCAACAUUGCACAAUCUCAUAGGAAUUAUGUGAACAAGUGAAACGGAUUGAAACAUUUCAUACAACUAAAUGUCUUUUGAGACAACCACUAAACUUACAAAAUGUAAGGGUGAUGGAUCUUUAUAAUUGUUCAAAUUUAAAGUCAUUGUUUAUUAUAUCUAUUGCCACGUUCAUCAUGUUAGAGAAAUUGAAAAUUUCAUGGUGCGAUGAAUUGAAGCACAUAAUAUCAAAUGAGGGAGAUGAUCAUUAUCAUGGUCAUAUAAAUUAUGGUUCAAUUUUCCCAGCAUUACAGGAGAUUAGCAUCAGGAAUUGUAGAAAGCUAGAGUUUUUAUUUCCUUCCAUAUUUUCAAGAGGCCUUAAGAAAUUAAAAAGUAUAGAUAUUGAAGGAGCUUCAGGACUCAAAUAUAUUUUUGGGGGAUACAAUAAACAUGAAAAAAAGAUGGUUCCUAUUGAUCUUCCAGCUUUGGAAAUGUUAUCCCUUGUACGUGUACCAAGAAUUAUCAGCAUGUGUGCUAAAAAUAAUUAUAUAGUGUGGCCAUCUCUACAUAAUAUUACUUUGAUGAGUUGUUAGGAGUUGUUGAUAAGACCUUUUCCAAGUUUGAUGGUUUGUCUACAAGGAAGACAAUAGAAGUUAGAAAGUGGAGAUCAGGAGUUGAUUAUGAGAGCUUCUUUAGAUUUUAUGGCUUGUUUACGAGGAAGACAACCAAAGUUAGAACAUGAAUUGAUGAAAAGUGUGAUGGAUAUGCAAAACUUGACAAGUCUUGAGGUAGGGGGCUCAGAAGAAAUAAAAAAGAUCUUUAAUAUGGAAGGAAUUAAAAGUGAUAGAGUAGUGACAUUAAGCUUACAAGUCAUGAGGUUGAAAUGCUUACGUGAGUUAAGGCAUAUAUAUAAGGAUCCUAAUAAUAUUUUGAGCCUUCAAAGUCUCAAGGUCGUAGUAAUAAGUGAAUGUGAUAAACUCAUAGCUAUAUUUUCUGCAUCAACGUUGAAAAGCCUUCCAAGAUUGUCCUACUUAGAGUUAAUAAGUUGCAAAGAUUUAGUUCAUAUCAUUAAAGAAGAAGAAAAUGCAUAUCAUAAUUGUCAUCAUCAAUUGAUGUGCUUCCCAAUGUUAGAACAAAUUCGAGUUUAUUACUGUUGUGAGAUGAGAUCUCUUUUCUCAAUUUCAACAUCUAGCAUGCUUCCAAAACUGGAGAUGUUAGAGAAGCAUCCUCUAGGAUCGAGCAAGUAUUCACAUGCCAUCAAGAAGAUGCUGCACAAGAGAUGGUGAUAGAGAACAUGUUUCCAAAUUUAUCAUAUUUAAGACUCAUAGACUUGCCCAAGCUUAGAACCAUUUGCCGGGGGAUUGAUUUUCAAUCUGUGCCAAAUUUUGAAGUGUUUUACUGUCCCAUAUUAGAGGGUAAGAAACCUGAAAAUUCAUUCACUAUGCAUAAUUUCCAUAUUUUAUUUGCAAUAUCAAUCUAUCAAUAUAAUGCAUAUAUAGUGUAAAUCUUCUUCGUUGACAUUAUGUAAUGUAUAUGUGGUUUAUUUGAAAAUUAUUGUAUAAUACUUAUAGGUUGUCCAAAUAUAAGUAUAAAAUGGAAAGUCCUACAUUGAAUAAGAUCAACUUUAUAAGUGGUUUUAAGUUGGUAUGGAGUGUCCUACUACUUCUAUAGCAUUUGUUAGGGAUGGAGAGAAACCACCUUAAAACAAAAGGAGAGAAUAAAUGAGUGAGAGCAACAGGAGGAUGCCAUAUCUUAACUCAAAAUCUCAAAAAUUAAGUUUGUAUUUUUUUUCUUUUAUUAUAUAUUACCCUAUUAAGCUUAAUUUUAUUUGAUAUGGGACUUCCAACAUUAACUUAAGUGCUUUCAUAGUUGGACAACUUAAUGAUAUUCUAUAUUAUUGUUAUAUUGAAAACCCUUGUGAAAAUUGCUUUUCAACUCCUUAUAAUGCCUCAAAGUCUUAAUUCAGAAAAUGAAGAAGCGUUGAAGGAGUUACAAUCUUCUUGUUCCAAUACCAAUCUAGAUUCAGAAAAUCAAGGAACAAUAAAAGAGCCACAAUUUACACAUUCCAACACUAUUGAUCAAGCUAUGCCACAUGAGGUAGAAGUGAAAAAUGAAUAAGAAAUAGAAACACCAAAGCUAACAAGUGCUUUACCAGCUAACUCAACAGAGAAUUUUAUAGAUGGAACGAAGAAAAUUAUUGAAGAAGUUCCCAUUUCAAAAAUAUCAGCAAUGGUACCAUCAUCAUUUGAUUCUGCAAUCACCAAAGGACUGAGUGAAGGAAGUACUCAAGAGGACACUACAAUCAUGAAAGCUAAAAUAGUUACUUCGUCGAUCCAUUCACAAGUAGAGGGCUCACAAUCAAACCCAUCUACAAUGGUAAUUUUACUACCUUUGAAACUUAUAUCAUGUUUUAGUUAACAUAUGUUUAAAUAUCAACUAUUUAUCAUAACUUUACAGGUUAAUGUCAUCAAAUAUUUUUCAUAUAUAUUUCAUUCAAUAUAAUCUUUGUUAAUUCAAAUGUUGCUAGAAGUUGAAUUGGAUAGCAUUUAUAUCAACUAGCUCUAACUGUUUUUUUUAACCUCUAUGUAUAUAUAUAUAUACGCGUUUGUUAGGGAAAAUAAUUAGUAAUAAAUAACUAAAUUAAAUGAAUGUUACUUAAAUAAAACUAAGUCAUAUAUAUGAAUGUUUUCAAAAUCUACAAUUGAGUUUCAAGCAAUCUUGUAUUGAUGAUCCUUGAAGCUUAAUUGCAUAUCUACAGUUCACCUUAAAGGAUUUUCAAUGUUUGGCACUUCAUCCUAAAAUUUUCACUUAUUUGGUGCUUAUCCCUAGUUUUCCCUUAAGACUAACUUUUCAACGAUGCCACAUAGACUAUUAGAGAAUCAAGCAUUGCAAGUGUUCAAGAGGGACCUGAAUUAGAGAAGGUUAAAAAGGUAAACUUAUUAACAUGCUCUCAGGAUUUUAAACCACAACCAAUGGAGGACAAUUAUGUUCAUUCUGAUGUUAUUCCUUCUCAAUAUCAUUGUAAGUUUCUUUCUAUCUAUCACGAGUUCAUGUUUCUUUUUAGUCAUACACUAACUUCUUUAGCAUGACAGAUAAAUUUUGCCUUAAUGAUGCUGGUCCUUCUCCUACACUAGAUAUUAGUGACAUUUUCCAACUUGUGGAGUUAAAGGAUGGGGAAUCAACUUUACUCGCCAAAGCACUUGAGAUAUAUCCUCAAUUAAGGUUAUCUUGUGAA